rnacentral:rRNA from 1 species
ACUGAACGCUGGCGGCAGGCCUAACACAUGCAAGUCGAGCGGAUGAAGGGAGCUUGCUCCUGGAUUCAGCGGCGGACGGGUGAGUAAUGCCUAGGAAUCUGCCUGGUAGUGGGGGAUAACGUCCGGAAACGGGCGCUAAUACCGCAUACGUCCUGAGGGAGAAAGUGGGGGAUCUUCGGACCUCACGCUAUCAGAUGAGCCUAGGUCGGAUUAGCUAGUUGGUGGGGUAAAGGCCUACCAAGGCGACGAUCCGUAACUGGUCUGAGAGGAUGAUCAGUCACACUGGAACUGAGACACGGUCCAGACUCCUACGGGAGGCAGCAGUGGGGAAUAUUGGACAAAGGGCGAAAGCCUGAUCCAGCCAUGCCGCGUGUGUGAAGAAGGUCUUCGGAUUGUAAAGCACUUUAAGUUGGGAGGAAGGGCAGUAAGUUAAUACCUUGCUGUUUUGACGUUACCAACAGAAUAAGCACCGGCUAACUUCGUG